AGAGAGAGACAUGCGCGCAUAUCAAUAAGCGGAGGAAAAGAAACUAACAAGGAUUCCCUAGUAACGGCGAGUGAAGCGGGAAGAGCUCAAAUUUGAAAUCUUAAAGGUUUUCCCUUGACGAAUUGUAGUUUAAAGAAGUGUUUUCUGUUGGAGUUUUGGUAGAAGUUCUUUGGAAUAGGACAUCAUAGAGGGUGAGAAUCCCGUAUUUGACCGUUACUUUCUAGCUGUGUGAUACACUUUCAAAGAGUCGGAUUGUUUGGGAAUGCAGUCCAAAAUGGGUAGUAAAUUUCAUCUAAAGCUAAAUAUUGGCGAGAGACCGAUAGCGAACAAGUACCGUGAGGGAAAGAUGAAAAGAACUUUGAAAAGAGAGUUAAACAGUACGUGAAAUUGUCAAAAGGGAAGCGUUUGACACCAGUGUUGUUUUCUCGAAAAUCAAUUAAAAAUGGCUGGAUUUUGUGUUGUAUUGACUUUAUCAGCUUUCUGCACUCUUUUCUUGUCUUUUUAAUGCACUUUUCGUUUAACAAGUCAACAUCAAUUUCUUUUGUUGUAAAAGAGUCAUUGGAAGGUGGCUUUCACUUUCGGUGAAAGUGUUUAUAGCCUUUGACCUCUGCAAUCGGAGAGAUUGAGGUCUGCAGCGUAGAUCCUUCGGGGUUAGAUACAUUUGUGCUAAGUUAUAGCCUUUCAUAGACAACUUGUUGACUAUGAUCAGUCAUGUAGCUUACUCGCUUAUGCUAUUUUACCUACGCUUAGGAUGUUGACAGCAGUAUAGACUGU
rnacentral:rRNA from 1 species